AUUUAUAUAGUAUAAAAAUUACAUUUAAUUUCCAAUUAAAAAAUUUAACCUCUUAUUAAUAUAAAUA
rnacentral:tRNA from 1 species